AUUAAACGCUGGCGGCAUGCCUUACACAUGCAAGUCGAACGGCAGCACGGGGGCAACCCUGGUGGCGAGUGGCGAACGGGUGAGUAAAGCAUCGGAACGUGCCCUGGAGUGGGGGAUAACGUAGCGAAAGUUACGCUAAUACCGCAUAUUCUGUGAGCAGGAAAGCAGGGGAUCGCAAGACCUUGCGCUCUGGGAGCGGCCGAUGUCGGAUUAGCUAGUUGGUGGGGUAAAGGCCUACCAAGGCGACGAUCCGUAGCGGGUCUGAGAGGAUGAUCCGCCACACUGGGACUGAGACACGGCCCAGACUCCUACGGGAGGCAGCAGUGGGGAAUUUUGGACAAUGGGCGAAAGCCUGAUCCAGCCAUGCCGCGUGAGUGAAGAAGGCCUUCGGUUGUAAA
rnacentral:rRNA from 1 species